UACGUAGGGUGCGAGCGUUGUCCGGAAUUAUUGGGCGUAAAGAGCUUGUAGGCGGUUUGUCGCGUCUGCCGUGAAAAUUCGAGGCUCAACCUCGAACUUGCGGUGGGUACGGGCAGACUAGAGUGUGGUAGGGGAGACUGGAAUUCCUGGUGUAGCGGUGAAAUGCGCAGAUAUCAGGAGGAACACCGAUGGCGAAGGCAGGUCUCUGGGCCACUACUGACGCUGAGAAGCGAAAGCAUGGGGGAGCGAACGGGG
rnacentral:rRNA from 1 species